GGCUGGAUAGUUCAGUGGUAGAAUUCUUGCUUUGGGUACAUUCCACAAAGUUGUAAGAGGUGUAAGCACAAGCUGUCUGCCUGUCUUGAUUUCCACUAACAUGUUCAAGCCUGGGUUCAAUCCCCAGUUCAGCCC
rfam:Cyphellophora europaea CBS 101466 unplaced genomic scaffold supercont1.5, whole genome shotgun sequence.